GACGAACGCUGGCGGCGUGCCUAAUACAUGCAAGUCGAGCGCAGGAAACUGACGGAACUCUUCGGAGGGAAGGCAGUGGAAUGAGCGGCGGACGGGUGAGUAACACGUAAGGAACCUGCCUCAAGGAUUGGGAUAACUCCGAGAAGUCGGAGCUAAUACCGGAUAGUUCAACGGACCGCAUGGUCCGCUGAUGAAAGGCGCUCCGGCGUCACCUUGAGAUGGCCUUGCGGUGCAUUAGCUAGUUGGUGGGGUAACGGCCCACCAAGGCGACGAUGCAUAGCCGACCUGAGAGGGUGAUCAGCCACACUGGGACUGAGACACGGCCCAGACCCCUACGGGAGGCAGCAGUAGGGAAUCUUCCACAAUGGACGAAAGUCUGAUGGAGCAACGCCGCGUGAGUGAUGAAGGUUUUCGGAUCGUAAAACUCUGUUGUAAGGGAAGAACACGUACGAGAGGAAAUGCUCGUACCUUGACGGUACCUUACGAGAAAGCCACGGCUAACUACGUGCCAGCCGCCGCGGUAAGAC
rnacentral:rRNA from 1 species